rnacentral:rRNA from 1 species
GAUGAACGCUGGCGGCGUGCCUAAUACAUGCAAGUCGAGCGAACGGACGAGAAGCUUGCUUCUCUGAUGUUAGCGGCGGACGGGUGAGUAACACGUGGAUAACCUACCUAUAAGACUGGGAUAACUUCGGGAAACCGGAGCUAAUACCGGAUAAUAUUUUGAACCGCAUGGUUCAAAAGUGAAAGACGGUCUUGCUGUCACUUAUAGAUGGAUCCGCGCUGCAUUAGCUAGUUGGUAAGGUGACGGCUUACCAAGGCAACGAUGCAUAGCCGACCUGAGAGGGUGAUCGGCCACACUGGAACUGAGACACGGUCCAGACUCCUACGGGAGGCAGCAGUAGGGAAUCUUCCGCAAUGGGCGAAAGCCUGACGGAGCAACGCCGCGUGAGUGAUAGAGGUCUUCGGAUCGUAAAACUCUGUUAUUAGGGAAGAACAUAUGUGUAAGUAACUGUGCACAUCUUGACGGUACCUAAUCAGAAAGCCACGGCUAACUACGUG